UCAUGGCUCAGGACGAACGCUGGCGGCGUGCCUAAUACAUGCAAGUAGAACGCUGAAGGAGGGAGCUUGCUUCUUCUGGAUGAGUUGCGAACGGGUGAGUAACGCGUAGGUAACCUGCCUGAUAGCGGGGGAUAACUAUUGGAAACGAUAGCUAAUACCGCAUAAGAGGUAAUAACACAUGUUAUUAGUUUAAAAGGGGCAACUGCUCCACUAUCAGAUGGACCUGCGUUGUAUUAGCUAGUUGGUAAGGUAACGGCUUACCAAGGCGACGAUACAUAGCCGACCUGAGAGGGUGAUCGGCCACACUGGGACUGAGACACGGCCCAGACUCCUACGGGAGGCAGCAGUAGGGAAUCUUCGGCAAUGGGGGCAACCCUGACCGAGCAACGCCGCGUGAGUGAAGAAGGUUUUCGGAUCGUAAAGCUCUGUUGUAAGAGAAGAACGGAUGUGGGAGUGGAAAAUCCAUGUCGUGACGGUAUCUUACCAGAAAGGGACGGCUAACUACGUGCCAGCAGCCGCGGUAAUACGUAGGUCCCGAGCGUUGUCCGGAUUUAUUGGGCGUAAAGCGAGCGCAGGCGGUUUCAUAAGUCUGAAGUUAAAGGCAGUGGCUUAACCAUUGUACGCUUUGGAAACUGUGAGACUUGAGUGCAGAAGGGGAGAGUGGAAUUCCAUGUGUAGCGGUGAAAUGCGUAGAUAUAUGGAGGAACACCGGUGGCGAAAGCGGCUCUCUGGUCUGUAACUGACGCUGAGGCUCGAAAGCGUGGGGAGCAAACAGGAUUAGAUACCCUGGUAGUCCACGCCGUAAACGAUGAGUGCUAGGUGUUGGGUCCUUUCCGGGACUCAGUGCCGCAGCUAACGCAUUAAGCACUCCGCCUGGGGAGUACGACCGCAAGGUUGAAACUCAAAGGAAUUGACGGGGGCCCGCACAAGCGGUGGAGCAUGUGGUUUAAUUCGAAGCAACGCGAAGAACCUUACCAGGUCUUGACAUCCCGAUGCCCGCUCUAGAGAUAGAGUUUUUCUUCGGAACAUCGGUGACAGGUGGUGCAUGGUUGUCGUCAGCUCGUGUCGUGAGAUGUUGGGUUAAGUCCCGCAACGAGCGCAACCCUUAUUGUUAGUUGCCAUCAUUGAGUUGGGCACUCUAGCGAGACUGCCGGUAAUAAACCGGAGGAAGGUGGGGAUGACGUCAAAUCAUCAUGCCCCUUAUGACCUGGGCUACACACGUGCUACAAUGGCUGGUACAACGAGUCGCAAGUCGGUGACGGCAAGCUAAUCUCUUAAAGCCAGUCUCAGUUCGGAUUGUAGGCUGCAACUCGCCUACAUGAAGUCGGAAUCGCUAGUAAUCGCGGAUCAGCACGCCGCGGUGAAUACGUUCCCGGGCCUUGUACACACCGCCCGUCACACCACGAGAGUUUGUAACACCCGAAGUCGGUGAGGUAACC
rnacentral:rRNA from 1 species